rnacentral:rRNA from 1 species
UUUUUCCAAACCCCUGUGAACAUACUAUACGUUGCCUCGGCGGAUCAGCCCGCGCCCCGUAAAAAGGGACGGCCCGCCCGAGGACCCCUAAACUCUGUUUUUAGUGGAACUUCUGAGUAAAACAAACAAAUAAAUCAAAACUUUCAACAACGGAUCUCUUGGUUCUGGCAUCGAUGAAGAACGCAGCAAAAUGCGAUAAGUAAUGUGAAUUGCAGAAUUCAGUGAAUCAUCGAAUCUUUGAACGCACAUUGCGCCCGCCAGUAUUCUGGCGGGCAUGCCUGUUCGAGCGUCAUUUCAACCCUCAAGCUCAGCUUGGUGUUGGGACUCGCGGUAACCCGCGUUCCCCAAAUCGAUUGGCGGUCACGUCGAGCUUCCAUAGCGUAGUAAUCAUACACCUCGUUACUGGUAAUCGUCGCGGCCACGCCGUAAAACCCCAACUUCUGAAUGUGACCUCGGAUCAGGUAGGAAUACCCGCUGAGCUGG